GAUGAACGCUGGCGGCGUGCCUAAUACAUGCAAGUCGAGCGAACGGACGAGAAGCUUGCUUCUCUGAUGUUAGCGGCGGACGGGUGAGUAACACGUGGAUAACCUACCUAUAAGACUGGGACAACUUCGGGAAACCGGAGCUAAUACCGGAUGAUAUUUUGAACCGCAUGGUUCAAAAGUGAAAGACGGUCUUGCUGUUACUUAUAGAUGGAUCCGCGCUGUAUUAGCUAGUUGGUGAGGUAAUGGCUUACCAAGACAACGAUGCAUAGCCGACCUGAGAGGGUGAUCGGCAAAACUGGAACUCACACACGGUCCAGAGUCCUACGGGAGGAAGCAGUAGGGAAUCUUCCGGAAUGGGCGAAAGCCUAACGGAGCGACGCCGCGUGAGUGAUGAAGGUCUUCAGAUCGUAAAACUCUGUUAUUAGGGAAGAACAUAUGUGUAAGUAACUGUGCACAUCUUGACGGUACCGAAUCAGAAAGCCGCGGCUAACUACGUG
rnacentral:rRNA from 1 species